ACACGCGUGGUGAAACGGUAUCAUGCUUGCCUUCCAAGAUGUUAGCAAGCGGCUCGGGUUCGACUCCCGGCGCGUGUA
rfam:Sphaerobolus stellatus SS14 unplaced genomic scaffold SPHSTscaffold_62, whole genome shotgun sequence.